rnacentral:misc_RNA from 1 species
GAUGAAGAACGCAGCGAAAUGCGAUAAGUAAUGCGAAUUGCAGAAUUCAGUGAAUCAUCGAAUCUUUGAACGCACAUUGCGCCCGCCAGUAUUCUGGCGGGCAUGCCUGUCUGAGCGUCAGUACAACCCUCACAACCGGCUUUCUUGCUGGAUGUGGUGUCGGGGAUCGGCUGCCUUUCUUCCAGGUGGCCGGCCCCGAAAUAGAGUGGCGGUCUCGUCGUGGCCUCCUCUGCGUAGUAGCAAUAUCUCGCAGGCGGAGAGCGGCGUGGCUAUGCCGUAAAACACCCAACUCUUCUAAGGUUGACCUCAGAUCAGGUAGGAAUACCCGCUGAACUUAAGCAUAUCAAUAAGCGGAGGA